AGGUCUGCUUUCUAUGUCAUAGCCAGCACCCUUUAUUUCAGACAUGGCGGGGUAUCUUGUUUCCUGAGAUGCACAUGGGUAGCUGAAAUCAGAAGGUGAUAUGCUAUGCAAUCCUAGAAGAUUGGAGGAACCAGCUCAUGCUCAAGUACAAACUGCAGUGAGCCAAACAGUCUGAGUGUGCAGCCAAAGCAGAGAACAGGAAAGAGGGAGCUUAGACAGAAAGAGCUCUGCAGCACAGAUAACCUUAAAAAUGCCUAAAAUAUGGAGCCCACAGAUCUAAAGCAGUAAUGUGAAGCUGUUGCCAUGACAGCAUUUCCACUGUGUGUCAAAGGCCACGGGAAUGAAGAGGUGAAAUCAGGAGGAGAUUUGUGCGGCAAUAGCACAGAAGGGUCACUCUUCUGAAUAGGGCACAUGAGCCCUCUUGUGAAACACGACCAAUUGUGAUGCAACAGAAUCCCCCAGAAGUAUGAUGGGCAGAGACUCUGGCAAGUCUGUAGAGAUUUGGAGUUCAGCACUGACCUCUUCCACAUCCAGUUUCUACUACUGAAAGAAAUAUGUACAUCAGUGGAGACACAUAUGAAUGCACCCAUUGUAAAUGACUUUUUAAACAGCCCAGCAAUUUGGAUAGUUUAAGUAAUCGUCUGUGCUGAAGAUAACUUGGGGAUGAAAUUAACUUCUGAAAAUACAUUUGUCAUUAAACUUUUUGUUGUAUUCUGUGAUUUAGAAAUAUGCUGUCCAGUCAGCCAUUGGUUGCAAAAUGUUCAUGCUUAUGUUACUGUCAUGUGUGUUCAGGGAACUGUGAAGAAAUGAACAAGAUCUUUCUGCUUGGAAAAAAUGUUUCGAUGUGAUUCGAAAUCCACACUGACUUCUUCAGAAUUCUCCAUUUCGUCUUUUGUCAAAAGUGAAAUAUUGAUGGCAAGCCAAUUCCUGCUUCAUCUGUAGAUGGCAAAGUUUUGUAGAGGAGGAAAUCUAUCUACUAAUACAGGGGACUGUAUCUCAGGAGGGAAAUAAAUUUUAAGGGACACAAAUUUCUUCAAUAUUUGAGAUUUUUAUUCCCAAUAUAUGUUUAAGUAAGAUUUUUGGAGUUUUUUUGUUCGUUUGUUUGUUUUUAUGCCAUCAUUAGUAUAAACUAUGGAUAUGCUAUGUUGCUCUAAAAAUGGAGCAAUAGAGAGGAUAAAAGAAAAGAUCAAGCAUGGAAAAAUGCAGGAGAGUGAAUGAUUCCUAGCAGGAACACAGGAAUUUAACAUACCUGGCACGUAGCUUUGAAAAAUAGGUAAAAUGAAGCCAGGAAAUAUCUUCUGAAGUAACAAGAGACCACGUCAGUUUGUUUGGCCAGGGUCUGAAACACAUCUGGCUGCAUAAUUUUGUUCAAAACUAGUAGGCAUGUGUGAGAUGCAAGAUGUGAGUCGUGUGAGAUGCCGCAAAAACGUAAAGUAUGGACAGUCUGUUUCAUGUUCGUUUUGCAUCCUAUGCACAGUGAUUCACUUGCCUAGAUUUUGCCCAAACAUCAGCAAUAUCAGCAAGAAAAAUGGAGAAUGAUCCUGCUCGAGAGAGAAGUUACUUUAAGAGUAUAUUAAAAAGAAAGUUUAGCACUUGUUUUGCUUAUGUGUAAAUGAUUAAAAUCUACAGUUCUUUCUUUAUCUACCUCUCCACCAGAGUAGCUCAGACUAUAAAUCUAAUGAAGUGGUAAUAAACUGGAAGAACAACUGUUGUUACUAGAAAAUGAUAUGGUGGAAUCAAAUGAAGCAUGUGGAUGAGGAAUUACCACCAUGCCAUGCCACAAAUGUAUGGAGAAAAAGUAAAAAGGCAACUAAACCUGUUCUCAUCUUCUUUUCACAAGAAGCAUGUCUUAAUAACUGGCAAACACUGUCCAUCUUUAAAGAUAGUUAUCAUGGUAUGAGAACACAUAGCCUGUAAUUGCAAGUGCCCCUUAUUUGUUCAGCAACCAGAGAUACAUUAUGUAGACAGGCUCUUUUUUACGUUGUUGAAUAUUUUCACCAAAGCAAAAGCAAUAUUAAGAUUCACUAGCUAGCAUAAAGUAGUAAAGAGAUAUGAGAGUUCAGUUUGGGACAGUUCUAAUCUAGUCUAUGUGCAUUAAUGGCUGUCACAGUAGCCUUAACUUACAUGUGAGGAUGCUACCAUGCCACACAUACAACAGCACCAGUCAGUGGAUAUUUUUUUAAAUCAAACAUUAUAUACAUGGAGCAUCAAUGCUUUUUUCUUGAAGUGCCUGAAUGAUUUAUCUCAACAGAUUUCCGCACUUAGGAAUUUCUUAACCAAAAGAUUCUCAAAGGAAGCAGUUUAAUGCAAACUCUCAAUAUGUCACAUUUUGGCAGUGAUUGCUUAAUGCAGCAGUACACUAACGAAUUGCUCCACUGCAUCUUCUGAUCAUGAAUAUGAAUCGGAGCACUAUAAACUGAACUCAAUGUACUGAUAAGUGACUGUAUCUGAUUGUGCCAGCAGCCAGAUGAUUUUCUCAUUAAUGAGCUGAACUAUUAAAAGAUGGAGGAAUGUGAAGCCAAGCCAGCUUUUCAGUGUCUGAUAUUCUUUGCUGAUGUUUUUCCAGAAUUAUCAGAAACCUUUGUCAACUAGUGAAAGAAAACAGAUUAAAAAAAUGUAUUAAGAAAGCACUGAAGACAAAUAAAGCUCCAAG
rnacentral:lncRNA from 7 species